rnacentral:rRNA from 1 species
CAGCACCUCAAGUGGUCAGGAUGAUUAUUGGGCCUAAAGCAUCCGUAGCCGGCUCUGUAAGUUUUCGGUUAAAUCUGUACGCUCAACGUACAGGCUGCCGGGAAUACUGCAGCGCUAGGGAGUGGGAGAGGUAGACGGUACUCGGUAGGAAGGGGUAAAAUCCUUUGAUCUAUUAAUGACCACCUGUGGCGAAGGCGGUCUACCAGAACACGUCCGACGGUGAGGGAUGAAAGCUGGGGGAGCAAACCGGAUUAGAUACCCGCGUAGUCC